CCUACGGGAGGCAGCAGUGAGGAAUAUUGGUCAAUGGACGAGAGUCUGAACCAGCCAUGCCGCGUGCAGGAAGACGGCUCUAUGAGUUAUAAACUGCUUUUGUACAAGGAUAAACCUCAAUACGUAUAUUCCGCUGACAGUACUGUACGAAUAAGGAUCGGCUAACUCCGUGCCAGCAGCCGCGGUAAUACGGAGGAUCCAAGCGUUAUCCGGAUUUAUUGGGUUUAAAGGGUGCGUAGGCGGAUUGAUAAGUUAGAGGUGAAAUGUGCGAGCUUAACUCGGGAACUGCCUCUAAUACUGGUGAUCUAGAGAGUAGAUGCGGUAGGCGGAAUGUAUGGUGUAGCGGUGAAAUGCUUAGAGAUCAUACAGAACACCGAUUGCGAAGGCAGUUUACCAAGCUAUAUCUGACGUUGAGGAACGAAAGCGUGGGGAGCAAACAGGAUUAGAUACCCCUGUAGUC
rnacentral:rRNA from 1 species